UACGGCUACAUCGAGUUGAUACACAGGUUCCUGUACGAUCACCGAAGUUAAGCUACGUGGAGCCUGGUCAGUAACUUGAUGAUAGACCGCUUGGAAAUAUCGGGUGUUGUAAU